GACUGACUCGGUUGAGUAUUUGAAUCCAUUUGCGGAGAUGUUUAUUGUGGAGAAAACCACACACAAGGAUAAGGCAGAUAAUCGUGGUCAAAUAACAAGCAAGGUCAAUAUCACAGCGUGCAGCAAACAAAUCCAAAUCGUAAUCCAACAAACAAGGUAAAGAACAGGCAAAGAACAUACACGAGGCAAUCAAUGUGGCAAUGAGAAAACGCUUGGUAGAGACAGGGGUUAGCUGGCAAUACUUCGCAAUCUGUUGUACAACUGAGCUGGAUUUAAACAGGAAGCUACAGGAAGUGGAGGAAGAAGAAGAGCACAGUCAGUAAUGAGGAGAUGGCGCCCUCUGGCGGCUGGAUGAAUGGAUGGUUGAUGUUACAGAAGUAGACUCUAGCACAUAUACCGUAAUUCCUCAAAUAAAAACCGAUAGUCAAAUAAAUGCCGGGCCUCUGAUAGUGACCGGGGGCAUGGUCAACACGGACAAAUAAAGGCCGGUCUUAAAGUCUGGGGGGAAAUUUGUAAUAUUAUACAAAUUAUACAAUAUUAUACAAAAUAAAGCGUUGGAGAUCUACAAUUAUGUGAGUGAUGCAGGAGAUUUGUUUGUGGCUAGCAGGGGUUGGUUAGAAAGAUUUCUACAGCACAAUGGUUUUUCACUUCGACGUCACACCACCAUGGCCCAGAAAGACCCAGAUCUACUAACUGAAAAAACUUGUUUUAUACGUUGACUACAUUAGCAAGGCUGUCAGUUCUAAAAAUGUUUAGAAAAGGACAUCAUUGCAAUGGACGAGACUGCAGUUUGGUUUGAUAUGGUGUCUCAGUGUCUGCUGUUGACACACGAGGAGCAAAGAGCGUGGCUCUAAAAACCACAGGACAUGAGAAAAGCCAUCUUACCAGUGAAUCUGCUGAUGUAAUUACAAACGCCAAGUGAUAGAGAAGGGGAGGGGGAGGUUGGGGAAGAGGUGACUCAUCAGCAUCGAGUGUUCACUUUCAGCGCUGAGGAGUGUUGAGAAAAGGAACAUCAUAGAGCAGGCUAGCCUCCCUUCGGGUAUAUUAACCAAUCACCAUAUAGAGCUAUUAGUUUGAAUGUCUCCCGUUCACGUUGUGUUCACUUCUCACUGUGUGUGCGCGUUGGAUGGGUUAAAUGAAGAGCACAAAUUCCGAGUAUGGGUUACCAUACUUGGCAAAUAUCACAAAAGAGGAAAAGAAGAAGCAACAGGGAAAUAAUAUUUGGAACAAUUCGUAGCACUUGUGAUUAACUGUAAGAUUUGUGUUGGGCAAGACACCAUGGUUGGACACAGCUGCCGCAUGUUCAUCUCCCAUGUUUAGAACAUACCAUGUGUGUGCCCGGUCCUUCGUAGCAUGUUAUUCACUGUGAGAAUAAUAAUUCUUCUCUAGACAAACAGUUAAAUGUAGUUAAAUUAAGAUUUAAUUAACUAGUUACUGAGCAACAGUAUUCAGGAAGGAUACGUCUAAGUUUGAAACGUUAGCUGAGAAGAAUGGAAGAUAUGGAUACAGAGAAUAGAGAAAGUGAAAAAUCUGAAACCAGGGACUAGGUUAUAUUCAAAUUUCUUCACACUGCAUACACACAUGCUGUAUUUAAAAGCUUCAGGUAAAAGAUAUUAAACCCUAAUUGUUAAAGCUAUUCGGUAGCUAAGGCUACAAUGAAAUGAUGCUAAGUCGUGUUAGCUUAGCCACUUAUUAAGGUGGUCUGUGUACAACAUGGCACCACCCGUGACAAGUCAUUGUCAUGGUAACCAAUGCAAUUGCAAUUCAAGAAGUUUAGUGUCUGCCCAUUUCAAAGAAGUUGCACACAGUCCGCAGUCCUUUGUUGCAUUAAACAAACACUUCUGUGAGUGCUUCUCUGAUUUCACAACAAACUUCUUGCACUUGUUUAAAGAACAACAAUAAAACUAAAGCCAGUUUAAACAUAUGUAUUUAUAGUAUUUGUGUCUUACAAAUACUGAAGUACAGUAUUACACCUUUAGUUUCACUCAGCGAGUGAACCACAGUAAUGACCACCAGGUUGCUAGACUUGUAUGCGAUCGGUUGUCUAACAGGUGUGCUUCACCUAUAAAUGUUUUAGCCUUACGGUGCAUUCACAUUAGACGCGAAUAGGAGCUAGGCGGUUGUCUGAUGUUGAUCGAUUCAAGGCUUUUACACUUUUUCCUGCACACAUCCUCUGACUGAACACACAUUAUCUUGUUAGCGAAAAGUAGCUGUAUUUUAGGGGGAAAAUAAUUGUAAAAAAUGGCUGGAAGGCCGCGGCUCGAUAAACGUGAACGUGACUCAAAAGUGAAAUGUGUUUUUACAACACACCCUUCCAAGCGAGGUUUUUAUUUUUAUUCCUGUCUCUAUAGAAAUAUGAAUGUGUACCAUAUAGCUCUGGGUGACUGCUCACUGACAAUAUCAGUCAGAGUGACUCCAGGCAGGCCUGCCGCAGUGUUGCCAGAUUGUAAAUGCCCAAGUAUAGUACCAGAAGUUCAAAAAUAUCGUAAACGAGUGAAAACAGUUAUAUAUCUAUUCUAAACCAACAACAUCUUGACACGACCUGCAUAUUUCCAUAAUAAAUAACUAGCCAUAUGGUUGGACGGAAGCAGUGCGACAAAAUACUAUCCCAUUGUUUUCAGUGACCGUCUGCGUGGCGGCGCAUAUUAAAACAUAUUAAAACUAUUUUAAACACUUGUUUGUUGCAUCCAGUGAAGAAGGAAUUUAGCUGUUGCUGCGUGCAGUUAACUCCAUAUCUGAGCCGCUGUCAUUGGAAGACUGCGUGUUGCCAGAUGUUGAAGGGGUUCUUGCUGUCAUGGACCACAACAAAGUGCUUGUUGGCUUUAAAGCAGGGCACCCUCCUGCAUUCUUAACACACCCUGAAGUGCACACGAAUGCAUUUAUAGUGUUUGUAAUGAGCCGAUUUCGUGUAUGAGUAUAGAAGCCCUAUGACUCCAACUACCAUCAUUUGAAUUUUCAUAAAAUUCUGGAAUAAUUGUACAUUAUGGGAUUUUUUUUCAUUACUGAUCGUACAGAGGUAAAAAUGAUCAUACAAAUACAAUAAUUAUCGUACGUCUGGCAACACUGGUCUGCCAUCACAGCAGCAAGCAGGCUCCUGAUUGGUUAACGUGGUGCGAAUUGACGGCAAAGUUCACAUUUUUCAACUAAGGCACCAGACAUUUGCGUCAUUCGCGCAAACUAGUUGUUUUUCUGAUUACCAUAUUUUUCGGACUAUAAGUCGCACCCGAGUAUGAAUCGCAUCAGUUCAAAAAUGCGUCAUGAUAUUAGUCGCACUGGAUUAUAAGUCGCAUUUCUUUAGAACCAAGAACCAAGAGAAAACAUUACCGUCUACAGCCACGAGAGGGCGCUCUAUGCUGCUCAGUGUACUGUAUACUAUAGGAGCACUAAGCAGCAUCUCUGGCAGCAUAGAGUGCCCUCUCACGGCUGUACACGGUAAUAUUUUCUAUUGGUUCAUUUCUCUCAGUUUCAUGUCAAAUUAAAUUUGAUAAAUAAGUCACAACUGACUAUAAGUCGCAGGUACCAGCCAAACUAUGAAAAAAAGUGUGACUUAUAGUCCGGAAAAUACGGUAGUCUAAAUGCUACAAUGUCAUGUCUUGUCUGUUUGCCCUUUGCAGGUAAUUUGUGUAGGUGACAUUAACGGCACCAUUGUGGCUGAAACGAGAACAAGCCAAAUGAGCAGCCGAGCAGAUGGCCAUAAAUUACCAGGGCAUCCAACCUGUUAUUUCCAUAGAGGACUGGUCGUGCUGUACGAUGUCAACUAGAACAUGGAGAUGACAUGUUAAUCACCAGUGGCAGGACCCCUUUCUGGGGAAAGUACAAGGUAAUGUUCCAUAAUUGGUAACGAUAUGUUGACUGUAUAACUGUGAAGCAUCACAAAAGUUUACCUCCUUUCUUUUUCCUAAAGGGCGGAUACAUGAACGAUGGAACAAUCCUGGCUGCUGAUAUCACAUACUACAUAAAUGGAGGAUGCACUCUGGACGAAUCCUCCGCCUGUGUUGGUUUUUUAGACUUGAUAAGAAAAACUGAAAUGUUUUACAUUUUGAAAUGGCCAAUCCCUUUCUGAAAUGUUGAAAAUCAAUCAAGUAAAUCCUUUUUUCCCCCCUUUUUUUGUUUAUAGAAAACGCUGGAUAGGAAAGUAAAAACCAAACCGUGUACCAUCAAUGUGUGAAGAAAAACAUUAUUCAAACUCUUUAUUGCCAAACAUGCUGACAAUUUCUUUUCAUUGAGACUUUGAGCUCAUAAACUGGCUAUCAUGCCAAACUCUUAACCUCAAUUCACAUGUCGGGGACUUUUACCUUCUUUAAUAUUUUUAUCAUGCAGUUAAUGUUUUAUAAAAGUAACAAGGAACUUGCUUAGGCAAUUGUAAGAUGUAGAUUAAUUCACAUUUGUUAUAAUAGCCAUUAACGUCUAAGCAUAAAUGUUAAGUGAACUGAUUUUAUGAAAAUUGAAGUAUCUCAACAAGCGUGAAUAACUAUAAAUUGUUCUUGAGACAUGAUUUCAUGCAGAAAUUCUUUAGUAGAUUACUUAUCAUUCCGCAAACAUCUGGUAAUAGUUGAAUGUUAAAUCAGGAUUACUGCUGAUGUCUACAUAAAUAUAAUAAAUGUUGUGUGAUUUGAUAAGAUCAACUCAAUA